ACAAAAAUGCACAUGCUGUGAGCUCGAUGAGUAGGGCGGGACACGUGGUAUCCUGUCUGAAUAUGGGGGGACCAUCCUCCAAGGCUAAAUACUCCUGACUGACCGAUAGUGAACCAGUACCGUGAGGGAAAGGCGAAAAGAACCCCGGCGAGGGGAGUGAAAAAGAACCUGAAACCGUGUACGUACAAGCAGUGGGAGCCUCUUAAUGGGGUGACUGCGUACCUUUUGUAUAAUGGGUCAGCGACUUAUAUUCUGUAGCAAGGUUAACCGAAUAGGGGAGCCGAAGGGAAACCGAGUCUUAACUGGGCGUUAAGUUGCAGGGUAUAGACCCGAAACCCGGUGAUCUAGCCAUGGGCAGGUUGAAGGUUGGGUAACACUAACUGGAGGACCGAACCGACUAAUGUUGAAAAAUUAGCGGAUGACUUGUGGCUGGGGGUGAAAGGCCAAUCAAACCGGGAGAUAGCUGGUUCUCCCCGAAAGCUAUUUAGGUAGCGCCUCGUGAAUUCAUCUCCGGGGGUAGAGCACUGUUUCGGCAAGGGGGUCAUCCCGACUUACCAACCCGAUGCAAACUGCGAAUACCGGAGAAUGUUAUCACGGGAGACACACGGCGGGUGCUAACGUCCGUCGUGAAGAGGGAAACAACCCAGACCGCCAGCUAAGGUCCCAAAGUCAUGGUUAAGUGGGAAACGAUGUGGGAAGGCCCAGACAGCCAGGAUGUUGGCUUAGAAGCAGCCAUCAUUUAAAGAAAGCGUAAUAGCUCACUGGUCGAGUCGGCCUGCGCGGAAGAUGUAACGGGGCUAAACCAUGCACCGAAGCUGCGGCAGCGACACUAUGUGUUGUUGGGUAGGGGAGCGUUCUGUAAGCCUGUGAAGGUGUGCUGUGAGGCAUGCUGGAGGUAUCAGAAGUGCGAAUGCUGACAUAAGUAACGAUAAAGCGGGUGAAAAGCCCGCUCGCCGGAAGACCAAGGGUUCCUGUCCAACGUUAAUCGGGGCAGGGUGAGUCGACCCCUAAGGCGAGGCCGAAAGGCGUAGUCGAUGGGAAACAGGUUAAUAUUCCUGUACUUGGUGUUACUGCGAAGGGGGGACGGAGAAGGCUAUGUUGGCCGGGCGACGGUUGUCCCGGUUUAAGCGUGUAGGCUGGUUUUCCAGGCAAAUCCGGAAAACCAAGGCUGAGGCGUGAUGACGAGGCACUACGGUGCUGAAGCGACAAAUGCCCUGCUUCCAGGAAAAGCCUCUAAGCAUCAGGUAACAUCAAAUCGUACCCCAAACCGACACAGGUGGUCAGGUAGAGAAUACCAAGGCGCUUGAGAGAACUCGGGUGAAGGAACUAGGCAAAAUGGUGCCGUAACUUCGGGAGAAGGCACGCUGAUAUGUAGGUGAAGCGACUUGCUCGUGGAGCUGAAAUCAGUCGAAGAUACCAGCUGGCUGCAACUGUUUAUUAAAAACACAGCACUGUGCAAACACGAAAGUGGACGUAUACGGUGUGACGCCUGCCCGGUGCCGGAAGGUUAAUUGAUGGGGUUAGCGGUAACGCGAAGCUCUUGAUCGAAGCCCCGGUAAACGGCGGCCGUAACUAUAACGGUCCUAAGGUAGCGAAAUUCCUUGUCGGGUAAGUUCCGACCUGCACGAAUGGCGUAAUGAUGGCCAGGCUGUCUCCACCCGAGACUCAGUGAAAUUGAACUCGCUGUGAAGAUGCAGUGUACCCGCGGCAAGACGGAAAGACCCCGUGAACCUUUACUAUAGCUUGACACUGAACAUUGAGCCUUGAUGUGUAGGAUAGGUGGGAGGCUUUGAAGUGUGGACGCCAGUCUGCAUGGAGCCGACCUUGAAAUACCACCCUUUAAUGUUUGAUGUUCUAACGUUGGCCCGUAAUCCGGGUUGCGGACAGUGUCUGGUGGGUAGUUUGACUGGGGCGGUCUCCUCCUAAAGAGUAACGGAGGAGCACGAAGGUUGGCUAAUCCUGGUCGGACAUCAGGAGGUUAGUGCAAUGGCAUAAGCCAGCUUGACUGCGAGCGUGACGGCGCGAGCAGGUGCGAAAGCAGGUCAUAGUGAUCCGGUGGUUCUGAAUGGAAGGGCCAUCGCUCAACGGAUAAAAGGUACUCCGGGGAUAACAGGCUGAUACCGCCCAAGAGUUCAUAUCGACGGCGGUGUUUGGCACCUCGAUGUCGGCUCAUCACAUCCUGGGGCUGAAGUAGGUCCCAAGGGUAUGGCUGUUCGCCAUUUAAAGUGGUACGCGAGCUGGGUUUAGAACGUCGUGAGACAGUUCGGUCCCUAUCUGCCGUGGGCGCUGGAGAACUGAGGGGGGCUGCUCCUAGUACGAGAGGACCGGAGUGGACGCAUCACUGGUGUUCGGGUUGUCAUGCCAAUGGCACUGCCCGGUAGCUAAAUGCGGAAGAGAUAAGUGCUGAAAGCAUCUAAGCACGAAACUUGCCCCGAGAUGAGUUCUCCCUGAGACUUAGAGUCUCCUGAAGGAACGUUGAAGACGACGACGUUGAUAGGCCGGGUGUGUAAGCGCAGCGAUGCGUUGAGCUAACCGGUACUAAUGAACCGUGAGGCUUAACCUUACAACGCCGAAG
rnacentral:rRNA from 1 species